GGAUCCAGACUUUGAUUCUGGCUCAGGAUGAACGCUGGCGGCGCAUUUAAGACAUGCAAGUCGAACGAAAAUUUACGCUUAAAGAGUUGAUUAGUUUACUAAGAGAUGAUUUAUUGUAAAUUUUAGUGGCGGACUGGUGAGUAAUACAUAGGUAAUCUGCCUUUUAGAGGGGAAUAACUAGGAGAAAUCCUAGCUAAUACCGCGUAAGACCACACUUAGGCAUCUAAGAGAGGUCAAAGGAGUAAUCCGCUAAAAGAUGAGCCUGUGGCUGAUUAGUUAGUUGGUGGGGUAAGAGCCUACCAAGACGAUGAUCAGUAGCCGAGCUGAGAGGCUGGCCGGCCACAUUGGGACUGAGAUACGGCCCAGACUCCUACGGGAGGCAGCAGUUGGGAAUAUUGGACAAUGGAGGAAACUCUGAUCCAGUGACGCCGCGUGAAGGAAGAAGGUCUUCGGAUUGUAAACUUAUUUUAUCAGGGAAGAAGAAAGUGACAGUACCUGAAGAAAAAGGACCGGCAAACUACGUGCCAGCAGCCGCGGUAAUACGUAGGGUCCAAGCGUUAUCCGGAUUUACUGGGUGUAAAGGGCGAGUAGACGGCGCUGUAAGUCAGCUGUGAAAACUUAGGGCUCAACCUUAAGCCUGCAGCUGAAACUGUAGUGCUAGAGUGCAGGAGAGGUAAGCGGAAUUCCUAGUGUAGCGGUGAAAUGCGUAGAUAUUAGGAGGAACACCAGUGGCGAAGGCGGCUUACUGGACUGUAACUGACGUUGAGGCGCGAAAGUGUGGGGAGCAAACAGGAUUAGAUACCCUGGUAGUCCACACCGUAAACGAUGGAUACUAGGUGUAGGCGAGAUAUCGUCUGUGCCGGCGCAAACGCAAUAAGUAUCCCACCUGGGGAGUACGGCCGCAAGGUUGCAACUCAAAGGAAUUGACGG
rnacentral:rRNA from 1 species